rnacentral:lncRNA from 1 species
GCCAGGCGGCCCGGCACCGCUACGAGGUCGUGACGGAGCUGGGCCCGGAGGAGGUGCGCUGGUUCUACAAGGAAGACAAGAAGACCUGGAAGCCCUUCAUCGGCUACGACUCGCUCCGCAUCGAGCUCGCCUUCCGGACCCUGCUGCAGGUCACGGGUGCCCGGCCUCAAGACGAGGACCGGGACGGCGACCAUGUGUGUUCCCCCGCGGGGCGGGCCUCCAGUUCCGGAGAAGACGACGAUGAGGACCGCGCCUGCGGCUUCUGCCCGCGCUCGGCGGGGCACGAGCCCGAGAUGGUGGAGCUGGUGAACAUCGAGCCUGUGUGCGUGCGGGGCGGCCUCUACGAGGUGGAUGUGACCCAAGGAGAGUGCUACCCGGUGUACUGGAACCAGGCUGAUAAAAUACCAGUAAUGCGUGGACAAUGGUUUAUUGAUGGCACUUGGCAGCCUCUAGAAGAAGAAGAAAGUAAUUUAAUUGAGCAAGAACAUCUCAAGUGUUUUAGGGGCCAGCAGAUGCAGGAAAUUUUUGAUAUUGAAGUGUCAAAAUCCAUAGAUGGAAAAGAUGUUGUCUACCACCUCCCUCCCUUCUCCCUCCCUUCUCUGUUCAAAUGGAGAGGAUUUAAGGAGAGUACAGAUGCGGCAGGUCUUAAACGAAAGCGUUCCCAAGCUAUGCAUAGUUUCAAGCUGAGUCGAAACCAUGUGGACUGGCACAGUGUGAAUGAAGUAUAUCUUUAUAGUGAUGCAACAACAUCUAAAAUUGCAAGAACAGUUACCCAAAAACUGGGAUUUUCUAAAGCAUCAAGUAGUGGGACCAGACUUCAUAGAGGUUAUGUAGAAGAAGCCACAUUAGAAGACAAGCCAUCACAGACUACCCAUAUUGUAUUUGUUGUGCAUGGCAUUGGGCAGAAAAUGGACCAAGGAAGAAUUAUCAAAAACACAGCCAUGUAAGUUCUUUGACAAAUACAGUCUAUGUCUAGUCUAGAAUUCACACUUUCGUCCAGGGUAUAAGAAAUAUUAACAGUAUACUAAUUCCA